rnacentral:rRNA from 1 species
AGAGAGAGACAUGCGCGCAUAUCAAUAAGCGGAGGAAAAGAAACUAACAAGGAUUCCCUUAGUAACGGCGAGUGAAGCGGGAAGAGCUCAAAUUUGAAAUCUUCAAGGUUCUACCUUGACGAAUUGUAGUUUAUAGAAGUGUUUUCUGUUAGUGGAGUGGCAAAAGUUCUUUGGAAUAGGACAUCAUAGAGGGUGAGAAUCCCGUAUUUGGUCAUUCCUCCUAGCGUUGUGAUACACUUUCAACGAGUCGGAUUGUUUGGGAAUGCAGUCCAAAAUGGGUGGUAAAUUUCAUCUAAAGCUAAAUAUUGGCGAGAGACCGAUAGCGAACAAGUACCGUGAGGGAAAGAUGAAAAGAACUUUGAAAAGAGAGUUAAACAGUACGUGAAAUUGUCAAAAGGGAAGCGUUUGACACCAGUGUUGUUUUUUCCGAAAAUCAAUUACGAAUGUUGUUUUGUAUUUUGAGACGUAUGACUUCAUCGGCUUGCUCCUUUCUUUACGAAACUUUCUUAAUGCACUUUUCGGUUAACAAGUCAACAUCAAUUUCUUUUGUUGUAAAAGGGUAUGAGGAAGGUGGCUUUCUUUUCGGAGAAAGUGUUUAUAGCCUUGUGCCUCUGCAAUCGGAGAGAUUGAGGUCUGCAGCGUAGAUCCUUCGGGGUUAGAUACGUUUGUGCUAAGUUAUAGCUUUUCAUAGACAACUUGUUGACUAUGUUGAGUCUUGUAGCUUACUCGCUGAUGCUAUUUUACCUACGCUUAGGAUGUUGAAGAUGUAGCACAUCAU